ensembl:lncRNA
UGUAAAAAUCUGCAGACAAUUUUAUUAAAUUGACAAAAUGUUCAUCUGUACAGCAAAAAAAAAAGCACAAUGUAAAAUCUCAAUAUUACAUCGCGGCAUAACCUGAACAAAAAAUAUAACAGCAGAUCCAUAACGUUGUACAGAAAGAAAAGGACAAAACUGGUUAUCAGCAUCAGUCUGUUUCAAAGAAGUCUUCAAACCAACGAAAACAGACAGGAAGAAGGACAAACUUUUGUUUAAAAUGAAUAGAGCGUCCAGGUGUUGCUGAAGCAGGAGAGAGGUUCAGCUCCUGGAGAGCAGAGGAGCUUUGUGACCUUCUCAUGUAGUCCAAACGGUCUCACGGUGGGCCUCACUGUCCAGACUCUCCCCUCGUUUCUGUUUCCAGGGUUGAGAUGUGGAGGAUGGUGGUGCCAGAUUUACAACAGGGCCAGUUCUGGCCCAAGAGGACCUCUAAAGGGGCCUAAUGUUACUCUAAGGUCCAAGGCCCUUCUGUUAUUUUCAGAGAGAGACUGGAAGCCAAAACAGACACUCCAUCUAAACAUGAAUCAGAUUCUCAACUGCGAUACAUUUCUAGAAACAUAAAACCCUUUUACUUCCAUAUCACAUCGAAAUAAUUUAGCAAAUGUAAAAUACACAUUUCCUGAAGUGGUGUGAAGUCCUUUAGUGAAACGUUUUGGGGUAUCUGUACUACAUUCCUAAAAAUAAUGUACUUUUUACUCCAUACAUUUUCCCUGACACCCAAAAAGUACAUUUUGAAUGCUUAGCAGGACAGGAAAUGGUCUGAUUUAUACACUCAUCAAGAGAACAUGGUCAUUCAUACUUUUGAUCCGUAAGUAUAUUUUAGCAAUUAUGUUGACUUUUUAUACUGAUGUAUAUUUAAAACCAAAGACUUUCACUCAAAGAACAAACUUUUGUUUAAAAAUGAAUAGAGCGUCCAGGUGUUGCUGAAGCAGGAGAGAGGUCCAGCUCCUGGAGAGCAGAGGAGCUUUGUGACCUUCUCAUAAGGUCGUAUUUUACUGGGUGACUCACUUUUCUAUUAAAGUAUCAUUACUUUUACUCAGGUAUGAGAAUGUAUUUUUUACACUGCUGCUGUACACCGUUUUGACCAGCCGACAGAAUAUUUCAGUGACAACACGUUUUCUGGCGGUCUGCUUCCAUUACACACAGGUGUCAGGUGCACGCUAGAUAUCUAACUAGCACAGGUGUCAGGUGCACGCUAGAUAUCUAACUAGCACAGGCGUCAGGUGCACGCUAGAUAUCUAACUAGCACAGGCGUCAGGUGCAUGCUAGAUAUCUAAUUAGCACAGGUGUCAGGUGCACGCUAGAUAUCUAAUUAGCAUAGGUGUCAGGUGCAUGCUAGAUAUCUAAUUAGCACAGGUGUCAGGUGCAUGCUAGAUAUCUAAUUAGCACAGGUGUCAGGUGCAUGCUAGAUAUCUAAUUAGCACAGGUGUCAGGUGCACGCUAGAUAUCUAAUUAGCACAGGUGUCAGGUGCAUGCUAGAUAUCUAAUUAGGAUAGGUGGUGUCUCGGUGGUCCGUCGACACUGUAACAUGGAUUCAUUUAAACUGGACACAGCAGAUCAUCUAGAUGACAGCAUCAACAGAGAAAAUACCUUUCUGAAAACUCGCCCCCGACUCCAAAACCAUCUGAUUCCUAAUGAAAACGGAAAAACCUUUCUGAAAUAAAUAGCUUCUCAUUUUCAGUUUAUUGAGAAAUAAUUGUAAUUAUUGAAUUGGAAUUUCAGUUUAUUUCCUGAACUGACCGACUUCUAUUGGAAUGGAUCCCAACAGGCCCCUGACCUCUGACCUCUGUGGAGCAGGACAGAUUGAGGAUGCAUCCCAACAGGCCCCUGACCUCUGUGGAGCAGGACAGAUUGAGGAUGCAUCCCAACAGGCCCCUGACCUCUGUGGAGCAGGACAAAUUGAGGAUGCAUCCCAACAGGCCCUGACCUCUGUGGAGCAGGACAGAUUGAGGAUACAGGCCCCUGACCUCUGUGGAGCAGGACAG